rnacentral:lncRNA from 1 species
GACCAAUCAGAUUUCCCUCCUAAUUCUUGUUGAUCCAAUCAGCAUCUCUGCCCUUGGUAUUUAAAAAUGGGACACUGUGAUACCAUUCAGGUACUUAAUGGGCUGAAGUUGAGAUCUUGGUGCAGUUCCAGGCUGGGGUGGCCAUUUCCCCUUGUGUUCAGAGAAGCAAAGUCAGUCUGCAGAAAGAGAAGUCUGGAAUAGAUACGCAAUGGGUAGAGGCUAGGAACCCCAGAAUCACAGAGACAUGGUGCAGUGAGUGCUGCAGGUACUAACCAGCUAACCAGACACUGAGGAGCAGGCAUGGGCUUCUUAGUCAUGGCCAUGCACAGCCUUCCUCUACCACAUAGGCUGAAUGCUAAAUGCCUCGUUUUUCCUGCCUCCCUUGCAGCUGGGACAGGCCAUGUUGUACAGAUCAGGCUGCUGACACAUAAGUAAAAGCCCUGGGAGAGCUUCCCUUCUGGAAUAAGAGGUGAGGGCCAGAAUCCUGCUAAACGUCCUACAAUGCAUAGAACAGCUCCCAAGAACAGAGGAUCAUUUCAUCUUAAAUGUCAGCGUCUGCAAGUUUGAGAAACUGCCCUACAGAGGCCUUGACGGGACACGCUUCUCUCAGCUCAGCACACUCUUAUCACCCAGCAGGCCAGACCAGGCUUGUCCACAUGGUGGUGUCACAGGUCCGAGAGCAAGCCUGGUGCUCUGGCACUUUUCAAGUCUCUACCUGCCUUGCGUGCGUUAAUUUCCCACCCUGACAAAGACAGAGACAGAUUUUUACCAUUUGCCCACAUUGGGCUUCUGUUAUUUGAAGCUUUAUAUAAUCCCAACUGAAGCAGAAGGAGAAAGUGAUGUUGACUGCCAGUGACAUCCUGGUUCCUAGUGCCUCUCCUUGUGAAGUCUGGAUCUCUGUUAUUUGCAACCAAACUGGCCUUUACAAAGACACUUUCCUGCUGUCCCCACGGAGGCCGGGUCUGAGAAGCUACAGGCAACCUUUCCUUGGGGAGUUAUGCUGAUAGAAUACCUGCAGUCCCUGCAAACCCCCAGUCCACCUGCACCUCUAAGAAGCUACAAGAACUUCCUUCUGCCCUUGCCAAUGGCAGCUAUGUGGAUUCUUGGAAUCGUGACUUUGCAGAUAAGGUGCGCUUCUCUCACAACCAGCACCUGCUGUUACAGAAACUAGAGCCAUGAAAUGUCUG